rnacentral:rRNA from 1 species
GACGAUCGCUGGCGGCGUGCUUAACACAUGCAAGUCGAACGGAAAGGCCCUGCUUUUGUGGGGUGCUCGAGUGGCGAGCGGGUGAGUAACACGUGAGUAACCUGCCCUUGACUUUGGGAUAACUUCAGGAAACUGGGGCUAAUACCGGAUAGGAGCUCCUGCUGCAUGGUGGGGGUUGGAAAGUUUCGGCGGUUGGGGAUGGACUCGCGGCUUAUCAGCUUGUUGGUGGGGUAGUGGCUUACCAAGGCUUUGACGGGUAGCCGGCCUGAGAGGGUGACCGGCCACAUUGGGACUGAGAUACGGCCCAGACUCCUACGGGAGGCAGCAGUGGGGAAUAUUGCACAAUGGGCGGAAGCCUGAUGCAGCAACGCCGCGUGCGGGAUGACGGCCUUCGGGUUGUAAACCGCUUUCGCCUGUGACGAAGCGUGAGUGACGGUAAUGGGUAAAGAAGCACCGGCUAACUACGUG